GAUGAGUGGAGCUUGCUCCAUGAUUCAGCGGCGGACGGGUGAGUAAUGCCUAGGAAUCUGCCUGGUAGUGGGGGACAACGUUUCGAAAGGAACGCUAAUACCGCAUACGUCCUACGGGAGAAAGCAGGGGACCUUCGGGCCUUGCGCUAUCAGAUGAGCCUAGGUCGGAUUAGCUAGUUGGUGAGGUAAUGGCUCACCAAGGCGACGAUCCGUAACUGGUCUGAGAGGAUGAUCAGUCACACUGGAACUGAGACACGGUCCAGACUCCUACGGGAGGCAGCAGUGGGGAAUAUUGGACAAUGGGCGAAAGCCUGAUCCAGCCAUGCCGCGUGUGUGAAGAAGGUCUUCGGAUUGUAAAGCACUUUAAGUUGGGAGGAAGGGCAUUAACCUAAUACGUUAGUGUUUUGACGUUACCGACAGAAUAAGCACCGGCUAACUUCGUGCCAGCAGCCGCGGUAAUACGAAGGGUGCAAGCGUUAAUCGGAAUUACUGGGCGUAAAGCGCGCGUAGGUGGUUUGUUAAGUUGGAUGUGAAAGCCCCGGGCUCAACCUGGGAACUGCAUCCAAAACUGGCAAGCUAGAGUAUGGCAGAGGGUGGUGGAAUUUCCUGUGUAGCGGUGAAAUGCGUAG
rnacentral:rRNA from 1 species